GCCGGUGGCGGGGUGCUAUACAUGCAGUCGAACGCACAGCGAAAGGUGCUUGCACCUUUCAAGUGAGUGGCGAACGGGUGAGUAACACGUGGACAACCUGCCUCAAGGCUGGGGAUAACAUUUGGAAACAGAUGCUAAUACCGAAUAAAACUUAGUGUCGCAUGACAAAAAGUUAAAAGGCGCUUCGGCGUCACCUAGAGAUGGAUCCGCGGUGCAUUAGUUAGUUGGUGGGGUAAAGGCCUACCAAGACAAUGAUGCAUAGCCGAGUUGAGAGACUGAUCGGCCACAUUGGGACUGAGACACGGCCCAAACUCCUACGGGAGGCUGCAGUAGGGAAUCUUCCACAAUGGGCGAAAGCCUGAUGGAGCAACGCCGCGUGUGUGAUGAAGGCUUUCGGGUCGUAAAGCACUGUUGUAUGGGAAGAACAGCUAGAAUAGGAAAUGAUUUUAGUUUGACGGUACCAUACCAGAAAGGGACGGCUAAAUACGUGCCAGCAGCCGCGGUAAUACGUAUGUCCCGAGCGUUAUCCGGAUUUAUUGGGCGUAAAGCGAGCGCAGACGGUUUAUUAAGUCUGAUGUGAAAGCCCGGAGCUCAACUCCGGAAUGGCAUUGGAAACUGGUUAACUUGAGUGCAGUAGAGGUAAGUGGAACUCCAUGUGUAGCGGUGGAAUGCGUAGAUAUAUGGAAGAACACCAGUGGCGAAGGCGGCUUACUGGACUGCAACUGACGUUGAGGCUCGAAAGUGUGGGUAGCAAACAGGAUUAGAUACCCUGGUAGUCCACACCGUAAACGAUGAACACUAGGUGUUAGGAGGUUUCCGCCUCUUAGUGCCGAAGCUAACGCAUUAAGUGUCCCGCCUGGGGAGUACGACCGCAAGGUUGAAACUCAAAGGAAUUGACGGGGACCCGCACAAGCGGUGGGAGCAUGUGGUUUAAUUCGAAGCAACGCGAAGAACCUUACCAUGUCUUGACAUCCUUUGAAGCUUUUUAGAGAUAGAAGUGUUCUUCUUCUGGAGACCAAGUGACCAGGUGGUUGCAUGGUUCUUCUUCAGCUCCU
rnacentral:rRNA from 1 species